rnacentral:sRNA from 14 species
AGAGUGAUCAGGAUGUGACAUCUGUCAUCCCACUGGUCUCCAGGACUGACUUGGCUGGUCUAGCUUGCUAGGCAGCUGUCCCCUUCCUCCCU